rnacentral:rRNA from 1 species
CUAAUACCGCAUACGUCCUACGGGAGAAAGGGGGCUUCGGCUCCCGCUAUUGGAUGAGCCUAUGUCGGAUUAGCUAGUUGGUGAGGUAAAGGCUCACCAAGGCAACGAUCCGUAGCUGGUCUGAGAGGAUGAUCAGCCACAUCGGGACUGAGACACGGCCCGAACUCCUACGGGAGGCAGCAGUGGGGAAUAUUGGACAAUGGGGGCAACCCUGAUCCAGCCAUGCCGCGUAUGUGAAGAAGGCCUUCGGGUUGUAAAGCACUUUCAGCGAGGAAGAACGCCUAGUGGUUAAUACCCAUUAGGAAAGACAUCACUCGCAGAAGAAGCACCGGCUAACUCCGUGCCAGCAGCCGCGGUAAUACGGAGGGUGCAAGCGUUAAUCGGAAUUACUGGGCGUAAAGCGCGCGUAGGUGGCUUGAUAAGCCGGUUGUGAAAGCCCCGGGCUCAACCUGGGAACGGCAUCCGGAACUGUCAAGCUAGAGUGCAGGAGAGGAAGGUAGAAUUCCCGGUGUAGCGGUGAAAUGCGUAGAGAUCGGGAGGAAUACCAGUGGCGAAGGCGGCCUUCUGGACUGACACUGACACUGAGGUGCGAAAGCGUGGGUAGCAAACAGGAUUAGAUACCCUGGUAGUCCACGCCGUAAACGAUGUCGACCAGCCGUUGGGUGCCUAGCGCACUUUGUGGCGAAGUUAACGCGAUAAGUCGACCGCCUGGGGAGUACGGCCGCAAGGUUAAAACUCAAAUGAAUUGACGGGGGCCCGCACAAGCGGUGGAGCAUGUGGUUUAAUUCGAUGCAACGCGAAGAACCUUACCUACUCUUGACAUCCUGCGAACUUGUGAGAGAUCACUUGGUGCCUUCGGGAACGCAGAGACAGGUGCUGCAUGGCUGUCGUCAGCUCGUGUUGUGAAAUGUUGGGUUAAGUCCCGUAACGAGCGCAACCCUUGUCCUUAUUUGCCAGCACGUAAUGGUGGGAACUCUAAGGAGACUGCCGGUGACAAACCGGAGGAAGGUGGGGACGACGUCAAGUCAUCAUGGCCCUUACGAGUAGGGCUACACACGUGCUACAAUGGCCGGUACAAAGGGUUGCCAACUCGCGAGAGUGAGCUAAUCCCGAAAAGCCGGUCUCAGUCCGGAUCGGAGUCUGCAACUCGACUCCGUGAAGUCGGAAUCGCUAGUAAUCGUGAAUCAGAAUGUCACGGUGAAUACGUUCCCGGGCCUUGUACACACCGCCCGUCAC